rnacentral:rRNA from 1 species
AUUGAACGCUGGCGGCAGGCUUAACACAUGCAAGUCGAGCGGGGUGAUGGUGCUUGCACUAUCACUUAGCGGCGGACGGGUGAGUAAUGCUUAGGAAUCUGCCUAUUAGUGGGGGACAACAUCUCGAAAGGGAUGCUAAUACCGCAUACGUCCUACGGGAGAAAGCAGGGGAUCACUUGUGACCUUGCGCUAAUAGAUGAGCCUAAGUCGGAUUAGCUAGUUGGUGGGGUAAAGGCCUACCAAGGCGACGAUCUGUAGCGGGUCUGAGAGGAUGAUCCGCCACACUGGGACUGGGACGCGGCCCAGACUCCUACGGGAGGCAGCAGUGGGGAAUAUUGGACAAUGGGGGGAACCCUGAUCCAGCCAUGCCGCGUGUGUGAAGAAGGCCUUAUGGUUGUAAAGCACUUUAAGCGAGGAGGAGGCUCUUUUGGUUAAUACCCAAGAUGAGUGGACGUUACUCGCAGAAUAAGCACCGGCUAACUCUGUGCCAGCCGCCGCAGUAACAC